ACACAUAUACAUUUCACAUAAUAAAUUAAUUGUCGAUAUGAUCAUAAUCAUUGUUGUCAUUUGAUUAGUGAAUGAGUCGUUAUCUUCAUCAUCCUCUAGUUCUUCUAUUUCUUGUUCAUUAAUAUUUUUUCAGUGUUUGACUCAUGACAAAGUCGACUAAUAAUCUCAUCUCCAAUCACAUGAUCCUUAUUUGACAUUUCAUCAAUCUAAUAUGAAACUUCUUCGUCCUCUGUUUCCUCUUCGUCCUCUGUUUCAUCUUCGUCAAUUCGACUCAUUGGUCUUGUUUUGAUUGGAGCACACCAACUUUGUUUGUUUCUUAUUAUGGAUGGAUAAGGAACAUAACACACUUGUAUUAUACUAUGGGCCAUCGUGAAUAGAUCAAACAAUGAGUAUCUUUUGCUGAAACGAAUGUCUACAAUAAAUCAACACCACUGUUUUCGCAUAAUAUCUAGGAAUGCGUAGUGAAUUUCACAAAGGGUUAAAUAUAUUUUAGUCCCUAUAAAAUUUCAAUAUUUCAAUUUUAGUCAAUAUAAAAUAAAAAUACAAUUUUUAGUCCUUAUAAAAUUAUCCAACAAGUAGUUCUAGUCCUCGCUAAAAUGAAACAUGUUUAAUUGUCUUUUCAUCUUGAAAAUAUUUGGAAUUUUUUCUUCUAACAUGUUUAGAACAUUAUAAAAUGUUUAUCCACAAAAAUUUAAAAAAUUUUAAAUUGGGAAGAAUUAAAUAUGAAUUUUUUAAUUGUAAAAAAUUAAAGAUAAAAGGGAUUGAAAACAUGUACCUAGAAAUUGAAUGUUUAGGUUAUUUCUUGGGGAGGAACUUUUAUAUGAUGUUGUGAACAUGCUUGGAAAAAUUCACUUAAAAAUAUUUGUUAACUUUACAUUAGGGACUAAAAGUACAUGCAUGAUAAUUUUGUAUGAAUUAAAAAUUACAUUUUUAUUUUACAAGGACUGAAUUGAAAUAUUGAAAUUUUAUAGGGAUUAAAGAUAUAUUUAACCCUUUCAUAAAUAUGUUCAAUUAUAUCAUAAAAGUUUUCUAUUACACCACUAUCAAACACACUCUUCAUACAUACUCAACUAUUUAUUGUUUCUUUUCCUUUAGUUCAAGAUUCAAUAUGAAAUUUGUUCAUUUGACAUAAUAGAUGUGGCUUUCUCUGAAGUUUUUACUUAGGCCUAUAGAUAAGUGGAUGUUGAUAGGAGUUGGUUCUUGGAGAUGUACUUGUUGUUGAAACCAUAAUAGAAAAUUUGAAUGUAUACCAACAAAAGAUUGUCAUGAAGUUAAAAAUGUCCUUAUCGAUUAGCUUAUAUGUUGUUUAUUAAAAUUAAAAAUACUAUGCGUUGUCAACAUUAAUUUAAAUUAUUAAGUAAAGAUUGAGAUGGAUAUAAAUCAUAUUCAAUGUAUGAUUUCACAUGUGUUGCAUUAAAUACUGUCACUUGGUCAAAAAAUUAGCAUAUCCCUACCAACAUUAUGACUAGACAGACAAAAGACUAGUAAAGCAUGUGGAUGACGUAUAAUAGUAUUGUUCCUUUCAUUUAUUGGUGACAUUGUGUCAUCGUUGAAAUAAUGAGAACAAAAGUGUGUUAUUUUAGGGUAUAGGUAAGAUGAACAAAUUGAGUCUUCAACUCUAACUUUAUUUUUUACCAAUCGUUUUGAAUAAGAUAAAGGAGAUGUACAAUAGGUUCGCUUGCAAGAUUCACCGAGAAUGCUCCAUAGAAUCAAAAAAAUCAAAGGUAAUAUUUUCUCCAACCUACAUAGUCAUGUGGAUACCAACUGAUGCACAAUAUAAAGAAGAAAAUCACCGAAAAACAGAAAAGAGUAAAAGAACUCAAGGUCAAAAUUUCAAAUUCAUCUUACAGUUCAAAGAGAGAAACACUAGUUCAAGUUAGAAAUAUUGUUUGAGUAUUCUUUUCUUAGAGUGUGAAAGUUAUUAUUAUUAUGAACUUUUUUAGAAGCAAACACUUAAAGUUCCAAUAUUUUGUAUCCAACUCGAUAGUUGUUUAGUUUUUUCUUCAAUCUGGGGUUGUCAGGUUGUUAGGAGAAGACUUGACUUGUAGGGUCAAGGUGGUUAGUUCCUUCUUCAAUAUGGGGUUGUUAGGCUGUUAAGAAAAGACUUGGCUUGUAGGGUCAAAGUGGUUAGUUCCUCAAAAUUCGGGGGUUUUCAAGCUGUUUGGGAAGACUGGCUUGGAGGGUCAGGUUCUUUGUAAUUCAAGGUAUUUGAAUUCGUGGAUUAAAGCCUUCUAAAUGUGGGAACUGGAUGUAGUCAAGUUAGUAGUGAACCAGGAUAAAUCUAUGCGUCCAAUUAUUUAUGUUUUUAUUAUUUGUUGUCUCUGAAUCCAAUUGUUUCUUAUAUAAGUAUUUCAUAAAAACCAAUCAACUUGCAUUAAAUUAGCAAAAAAUUAUCAAUUUUGGCAAACAAAAUUCAACCUCCUUCUCGUGUUUGCACCUUCAACUACUUUUGCUAUAAUAUUUUGAAUUAUAAAUAUUUUUUUG
rnacentral:lncRNA from 1 species